rnacentral:rRNA from 1 species
UACAGAGGGUGCAAGCGUUGUUCGGAAUUAUUGGGCGUAAAGGGCGCGUAGGCGGUGCCACAAGUCACCUGUGAAAUCUCCGGGCUUAACUCGGAGCCUGCAGGCGAAACUGUGGUGCUGGAGUGUGGGAGAGGUGCGUGGAAUUCCGGUGUAGCGGUGAAAUGCGUAGAUAUCGGGAGGAACACCUGUGGCGAAAGCGGCGCA